CCUCGAGUAGAAAUAUAUAGAGGUACAGAGUAUAAACUCCAUAUGAGAUAUGGUAGACCCACUGAUUAAGUCACUUAGCCAACCAAAAAUCAAAGUCUAUCUAGAGUAAAUGGGGCUUAGGUAUAUGGCAGGAUUGGCUUUAGUGCAAGUGGGAUAUUGUUGGAUGUAUAUUCUAGAAAUCAAUCUUGACUGACGCAUAUCCUAUUUUUAGGAUAUGAUUUUGUACUUGAUGGAUAG
rnacentral:lncRNA from 1 species